rnacentral:rRNA from 1 species
GACGAACGCUGGCGGCGUGCUUAACACAUGCAAGUCGAACGGAAAGGCCCUGCUUUUGUGGGGUGCUCGAGUGGCGAACGGGUGAGUAACACGUGAGUAACCUGCCCUUGACUUUGGGAUAACUUCAGGAAACUGGGGCUAAUACCGGAUAGGAGCUCCUGCUGCAUGGUGGGGGUUGGAAAGUUUCGGCGGUUGGGGAUGGACUCGCGGCUUAUCAGCUUGUUGGUGGGGUAGUGGCUUACCAAGGCUUUGACGGGUAGCCGGCCUGGGAGGGUGACCGGCCCCGUUGGGAUGGGACUGCGACCCGGACCCCUCCGGGACGCGGCGGUGGGGUAUGUUGUACUGUGGGCGGGGGCCUGGUGCGGCAACGCCACGUCGGGUGUGACAGCCAUGGGGUUGUGUUGCAAAUCCGCCUGUGCCGGGACGUUAGUGACAGUAAUGGGUAAAUAAGCACCGGCUAACUACGUG